GAUGAACGCUGGCGGCGUGCCUAAUACAUGCAAGUCGAGCGAACGGACGAGAAGCUUGCUUUUCUGAUGUUAGCGGCGGACGGGAGAGUAACACGUGGAUAACCUACCUAUAAGACUGGGAUAACUUCGGGAAACCGGGGCUAAUAGCGGAUAAUAUUUUGAACCGCAUGGUUCAAAAGUGAAAGACGGUCUUGGUGUGACGUAUAGAGGGAUCCGCGCUGCAUUAGCUAGUUGGUAAGGUAACGGCUUACCAAGGCAACGAUGCAUAGCCGACCUGAGAGGGUGAUCGGCCACACUGGAACUGAGACACGGUCCAGACUCCUACGGGAGGCAGCAGUAGGGAAUCUUCCGCAAUGGGCGAAAGCCUGACGGAGCAACGCCGCGUGAGUGAUGAAGGUCUUCGGAUCGUAAAACUCUGUUAUUAGGGAAGAACAUAUGUGUAAGUAACUGUGCACAUCUUGACGGUACCUAAUCAGAAAGCCACGGCUAACUACGUG
rnacentral:rRNA from 1 species